AUUAAGAUUUUUCUAAAAAUCACUGAACAAAUUUAGAAAAGGCUUUU
rfam:Gasterosteus aculeatus cont1.001587, whole genome shotgun sequence.